rnacentral:rRNA from 1 species
CAGCCGCCGCGGGAAUACGUAGGUGGCAAGCGUUGUCCGGAAUUAUUGGGCGUAAAGCGCGCGCAGGUGGUUUAAUAAGUCUGAUGUGAAAGCCCACGGCUCAACCGUGGAGGGUCAUUGGAAACUGUUAAACUUGAGUGCAGGAGAGAAAAGUGGAACUCCUAGUGUAGCGGUGAAAUGCGCAGAGAUUAGGAGGAACACCAGUGGCGAAGGCGGCUUUUUGGCCUGUAACUGACACUGAGGCGCGAAAGCGUGGGGAGCAAACAGGAUUAGAUACCCCUGUAGUCCCUGUCUCUUAUAC